rnacentral:rRNA from 2 species
AGACCCGAAACCCGGUGAUCUAGCCAUGGGCAGGUUGAAGGUUGGGUAACACUAACUGGAGGACCGAACCGACUAAUGUUGAAAAAUUAGCGGAUGACCUGUGGCUGGGGGUGAAAGGCCAAUCAAACCGGGAGAUAGCUGGUUCUCCCCGAAAGCUAUUUAGGUAGCGCCUCGUGAAUUCAUCUCCGGGGGUAGAGCACUGUUUCGGCUAGGGGGCCAUCCCGGCUUACCAACCCGAUGCAAACUGCGAAUACCGGAGAAUGUUAUCACGGGAGACACACGGCGGGUGCUAACGUCCGUCGUGAAGAGGGAAACAACCCAGACCGCCAGCUAAGGUCCCAAAGUCAUGGUUAAGUGGGAAACGAUGUGGGAAGGCCCAGACAGCCAGGAUGUUGGCUUAGAAGCAGCCAUCAUUUAAAGAAAGCGUAAUAGCUCACUGGUCGAGUCGGCCUGCGCGGAAGAUGUAACGGGGCUAAACCAUGCACCGAAGCUGCGGCAGCGAACGUAUCACUUAAAGCGAUUCAGCGGGUUACGAUUGACGGAGCGAAGCGACGUCAAAGCGUAUACAAAGUCGAGUCGGUUUAAGGAUACGUUCGUUGGGUAGGGGAGCGUUCUGUAAGCCUGUGAAGGUGGCCUGUGAGGGUUGCUG